rnacentral:rRNA from 1 species
CCUACGGGGGGCUGCAGUCGAGAAUCUUCCGCAAUGGGCGAAAGCCUGACGGAGCGACGCCGCGUGGAGGACGAAGGCCUUAGGGUUGUAAACUCCUGUCGAGGGUUAUGAAGAGCGGCUUGCGAACAGCAAGUCGUGUGACGUAAGCCCUGGAGGAAGCACCGGCUAACUCUGUGCCAGCAGCCGCGGUAAUACAGAGGGUGCUAACGUUGUUCGGAAUUACUGGGCAUAAAGCGUACGUAGGCGGCGCGUCAAGUGCGGGGUGAAAGCCCACGGCUUACCCGUGGAACAGCUUUGCAUACUGACGUGCUAGAGUGCGGUAGAGGAGAGCGGAACUCUUGGUGGAGCGGUGAAAUGCGUAGAUAUCAAGAGGAACACCGAAGGCGAAGGCAGCUCUCUGGGCCGUUACUGACGCUGAGGUACGAAAGCGUGGGGAUCAAACGGGAUUAGAUACCCCAGUAGUC